ACCUGCCCACUGAUGUAAAAUUGAAGGGCCGCGGUAUUUUAACCGUGCGAAGGUAGCAUAGUCAUUAGUCUUUUAAUUGGAGGCUUGUAUGAAUGGUUGGACAAGAAGCAAACUGUCUCGAAAAAAGUAUUCAAAGUUGACUUUUAAGUGAAAAGGCUUAAAUAUUUUAAAGGGACGAUAAGACCCUGUAAAGCUUAAUAAUUUUGCAUAUAAUUAGAUGAAUUGUAAGUAUAAUAUCAUUUAGAUGUUAAAUUAUUUCGUUGGGGCGACGAUAAUAUAAUUUGUAACUGUUUAAAAUUUAAAUUCAAAGAUGUUUGUAUUUAGUGAUCCAUUGUUGUGAUUAAAAAUUUAAGUUACUUUAGGGAUAACAGCGUUAUUUAUUUUGAGAGUUCAUAUCGACAAAAAAGUUUGCGACCUCGAUGUUGAAUUAAAAAUUUGUCAUGGCGUAGCAGUUAUGAUGGUAGGUCUGUUCGACCUUUAAAUUUUUACAUGAUUUGAGUUCAAACCG
rnacentral:rRNA from 1 species